rnacentral:lncRNA from 1 species
UGGGGUAUUAUGUUGCUUACUGGGCUAAUAUAGCUAAUUACUAUUUUUUUUUAUUUUCAGAUCCCGAUGCAUGAUCGUACGGGACUGAGGAGUGCGCUAGAUUUCUUGAAGAUUCUUCAGAUAUUGGUAUUUUAGUUAGAUUAUUUAGAUUUUUGAAUUAUGUUAGUACAUAUUACUUUGAAACUAUUGUAAGAACUAUUAAUCUGUAGCCUUGCAUGCCUGUACAGUUUGCCGCACAGGCAUGCAGCAUCUGUCGUGCUCUGAGUUCGGAGCAUGACAGAUGUGCCGGUAUUAGAGCCUAGGUUUUAUGAUCCUUAGGAUUCGUUAAAAAGUUUGAGAGUUGGGUAGAAAUUAGGCAAAGAGAUAUAUGUCAUUGUUUGCUUUUGUUUUUGA